rnacentral:rRNA from 1 species
AUUGAACGCUGGCGGCAGGCCUAACACAUGCAAGUCGAACGAGUGGCGGACGGGUGAGUAAUAUCUGUGAAACUGCGUGCUGGAGGGGGGUAACUACUUGAAACGGUAGCUCAUACCGCAUACCCUCGGCGAUUCCCAGAGGGGGUUAGCGAGUAGGUGGGGUAAAGGCUCACCUAGGCGACGAUCCCUAGCUGGUCUGAGAGGAUGACCAGCCACACUGGAACUGAGACACGGUCCAGAUUCCUACGGGAGGAAGCAUUGGGGAAUAUUGCACAAUGGGGGAAAGCCUGAUGCAGCCAUGCCGCGUGUAUGAAGAAGGCCUUCGGGUUGUAAAGUACUUUCAGCGGGGAGGCGUUACCCGCAGAAGAAGCACCGGCUAACUCCGUGCCAGCCGCCGCGGUAAUAC